UACCAGCACCCCGAGUGGUCGGGACGUUUAUUGGGCCUAAAGCAUCCGUAGCCGGUUCUACAAGUCUUCCGUUAAAUCCACCUGCUUAACAGAUGGGCUGCGGAAGAUACUAUGGAGCUAGGAGGCGGGAGAGGCAAGCGGUACUCGAUGGGUAGGGGUAAAAUCCGUUGAUCCAUUGAAGACAACCAGUGGCGAAGGCGGCUUGCCAGAACGCGCUCGACGGUGAGGGAUGAAAGCUGGGGGAGCAAACCGG
rnacentral:rRNA from 1 species